UUAGCUUCCUGGGUCAUAUGAUUUAGAAUAUGCCGUUAUCACAGACACUAAUGUGUGUAUGUUUCUGUUCAGUCUGCAUUCACAGGACGGUCAGGUGUUCAUUACCCGCCCUGUUUUAAUAAUUAGCAUGGGGUAGAUGUGGUGAAGAAGGUCCUGAGGACGGUUAGUGCUACAGGAAAGGAUCCAGAGGACAGCAGGAGAUGGAGGGACAUGAUCCACUGUGGCGACCCCUAACGGGGAGAAGAAGAAGUAGUUAGCAGUUGUGGUCCAGCCCAGAAAGUAUAGUUGAGGAGGUGAG